UGCAGAACCAGUGCCUGAUCCACUUUUCAAACCGUUUAUCUGCAAUGUGUCUGCUCCAAAAUCCUGUGAUGUCCAUCGUGGUGAAGGUUUUUCUGGCAAUGCCUCAGACAUUUCCAAUGCAAAAGGGUUAAUGGAGUUGCAACAGAGGCAUGAAGAAGAAAAUGCAUCGGAUGAACUUUGAUCGUUGUAGUCUUUGCAUAGAUGAGAUAUGGUAG
rnacentral:sRNA from 1 species